CCUACGGGGUGAGCAGUGGGGAAUAUUGGACAAUGGGCGAAAGCCUGAUCCAGCCAUGCCGCGUGUGUGAAGAAGGCCUUCGGGUUGUAAAGCACUUUCAGUGGGGAAGAAAGCCUUGGGGCUAAUACCCUCGAGGAAGGACAUCACCCACAGAAGAAGCACCGGCUAACUCCGUGCCAGCAGCCGCGGUAAUACGGAGGGUGCGAGCGUUAAUCGGAAUUACUGGGCGUAAAGCGCGCGUAGGCGGUCUGAUAAGCCGGUUGUGAAAGCCCCGGGCUCAACCUGGGAACGGCAUCCGGAACUGUCAGGCUAGAGUGCAGGAGAGGAAGGUAGAAUUCCCGGUGUAGCGGUGAAAUGCGUAGAGAUCGGGAGGAAUACCAGUGGCGAAGGCGGCCUUCUGGACUGACACUGACGCUGAGGUGCGAAAGCGUGGGUAGCAAACAGGAUUAGAUACCCCUGUAGUC
rnacentral:rRNA from 1 species